rnacentral:rRNA from 1 species
AGAAGUUACUAAGGGCGAACGGAGGAUGCCUAGGCUUCUAUGGGCUAAGAAGGACGUGGUAAGCUGCGACAAGGUGCGGGGAUUUGCAAACAGGAUUUGAUCCGCACAUAUCCGAAUGGGGCAACCCGGGCGGUUGAAGGCCGCUCAUUCCGGCAACGGAAAGCCAACGCUGUGAACUGAAACAUCUAAGUAGCAGCAGGAAAAGAAAGAAAGAUCGAUUCCCCGAGUAGUGGCGAGCGAAAAGGGAAAAGCCUAAACCGGUAUUGUUUCGGCAAUGCCGGGGUUGUAGGACUGCGACAUUAAAUGAUAAAUGGAAGUGGAAGCCGCUUGGAAAACGGCGCCGCAGGAUGUGAAAGCCAUGUACACGCAACAUUUGUAUAUUUAUAGCAGACUCCUGAGUAGGGCGGGACACGAGGAAUCCUGUCUGAAACUGCGGGGACCAUUCCGCAAGGCUAAAUACCAAUAGAAGACCGAUAGUGAACCAGUACUGUGAAGGAAAGGUGAAAAGUACCCCGAACAGGGGGGUGAAAAAGACCCUGAAACCGUUCGCUUACAAGCGGUCGGAGUCACUUCGUGUGAUGACGGCGUGCCUUUUGCAUAAUGAGCCUACGAGUUGCAUCUUACUAGCAAGGUUAAGGAUUUAAGGUCCGGAGCCGAAGCGAAAGCGAGUCUUAAAAGGCGCUUUAGUUAGUAGGAGCAGACGCGAAACCUAGUGAUCUACCCUUGAUCAGGUUGAAGGCGCCGUAACAGGCGCUGGAGGACCGAACCAGUUUCCGUUGAAAAGGAUUUGGAUGAAUUGAGGGUAGGGGUGAAAGGCUAAUCAAACUGGGAGAUAGCUCGUACUCCCCGAAAUGUCUUUUGGGACAGCCUCUGGCGAAGCUUUAUGGAGGUAGAGCUACUGAUUUGAUGCGAGGGCUUCACCGCCUAUCAAUUCCAGACAAACUCCGAAUGCCAUAAAGUUACUACCAGGGAGUGAGUCAUCGGGUGCUAAUGUCCGGUGGCGAGAGGGAAAGAGCCCAGACCAACAGCUAAGGCCCCCAAACGUAUGCUAAGUUGAAAGAACGAGGUUCGGUUGCAGCGACAGCUAGGAUGUUAGCUUGGAAGCAGCUAUUCAUUUAAAGAGUGCGUAACAGCUCACUAGUCGAGCGACUGAGCGUGGAUAAUAACCGGGCAUCAAGCAUACUGCCGAAGCUAUGGAUUUUGCACGCGAGUGUAAAGUGGUAGGGGAGCAUUCUGUACAGCGUCGAAGACGGGCUGUGAGGCCUGUUGGAGCGUAAAGAAAAGCAAAUGUAGGCAUAAGUAACGAUAAUGGAGGCGAGAAACCUCCACACCGAAAACCCAAGGUUUCCUGAUCAACGCUAAUCGGAUCAGGGUUAGUCGGGUCCUAAGGCGUAGCCGACGGGCGAAGCCGAUGGCCAAAUGGUUAAUAUUCCAUUACCUGCUUAUUAAGCGAUGGAGUGACGGAGUAGUGACACGUCCGCGUACUGACAGAAUAGUACGUUAAAGCGCGUAGGUAAAGAGCGUGGUUAAUAGCUAUGCUUUGCUGAAGCGCGACAGUACCGCAAGGCUUCGGCCGAGCGGAUAGUGACGGUAAUCAGACUCCCAAGAAAACCUUCUAAGCGAUAAUUAAUAAGCAGCCCGUACCGUAAACCGACACAGGUGGGUGGGAAGAGAAUUCUAAGGUGCUCGAGUGAAUCAUGGCUAAGGAACUCGGCAAACUAACCCCGUAACUUCGGAAGAAGGGGUCCCUCCUCAGUGAUGAGAGGGCGCAGAGAAAUGGCCCAGGCGACUGUUUAACAAAAACACAGGGCUUUGCUAAAUCGAAAGAUGAAGAAUAAGGCCUGACACCUGCCCGGUGCCGGAAGGUUAAGAGGGGAUGUUAUCGUAAGAGAAGCAUUGAAUCGAAGCCCCGGUAAACGGCGGCCGUAACUAUAACGGUCCUAAGGUAGCGAAAUUCCUUGUCGGGUAAGUUCCGACCU